UUAUUUCAAUUUCAUUUCAUUAUUUCAUUUCAUUUCAUCUCAUCAGUUCAUCUCAUCAUUUCAUCUCAUCAUCUCAUCUCAUCAUUUCAUCUCAUCAUUCAUCUCAUCAUUUCAUAUCAUCUUAUCUCAUCAUUUCAUCUCAUUUCAUCAUUACAUUUCAUCUCAUUUUAUGUCAUCAUUUCAUGUCAUCAUUUCAUCACAUCUCAUCUCAUCAUUUCAUCAUUUCAUCUCAUUUCAACUCAUUGCAUCUCAUCUCAUUUCCAUUUCAUUAUUCCAUUUCAUCAUUUCAUUUCAUUAUGUCAUUUCAUCUCAUCAUAUUUCAUCUCAUCUCAUCAUUUCAUCUCAUUUUAUCUCAUCUCAUUUCAUCUCAUCAUUUCUUCUCA
rnacentral:lncRNA from 1 species